GGUGAACCCCAGGCCGCCAAAGGGGAACGUGUGCGCUUAACCACUGCACCACUGGGCUAGCCCUUCAGUAAGGUUUUUAGAGGUCCAGUGGUCAAGGGAGUGCCAGGAUAGCCCUCCAAAGUGAAGGACAAAUUGCUGCCUUUUGAAACCUUUAUCACAAAAAAGGAAGUAGAGCACAUUGUAGACCUCUCUUUCUUUUGGAGGCAACACAUUCUAUAACUAGGAAUAAUGCUGUUGCUCACAUACGAAGUGACCUAGAAGGCUGCCAGCUUUGAAUGGGGCCCAGAGCAGGAAAGGGCUCUGCAACAGUUCCAGGCUUCAGUGCAAGCAGCCCUGACUGACAUUUGGACCAUAUGAUCCAGCAGACCCUAGUGGUAGUGGUGGGAAAAGAUGCAGUGUGGAAGUUAUUGCAAGUCCAAUGGGAGAAUCACAACACAGGCCCCCUGGGAUUCUGGAGCAAAGUCAUGCCAUCUGCAGCAGAAAAUUGUCUGUCCAUUGAGAAGCAGCUCUUGGCAUGUCACUGGGCCAUGUGGAGACUGAGCACUUGACCAUGGGACACUUCAUCCUGCCCCUCCUCACAGUCCCUAUCCAAGCGAGGGACUGAGUUUCUAACUCCAUCAUUCCAUCUAUAUUUAUUAGUUGACAUUCUAAUAAAAGGAAGUGUUUUUCCUUCUUCCCCACUCAUUUAUUUGUAGCAAAUGGACUCGUGGAUUCUUAGUCAACAAAUUAAAAUCCAUUACUGUCAUUAUUUAUUUGGAUGUUCUCAUUGUCCCAUAUUUGACCAGUGGGAGCUCCACAAUGGGUUCUGCGUAUGACAGGAGCCCGAGAUGUGUCACAUCUUCAUCAUUCUCUGAGCCCUUUCUUACUUUUUGGUACAAUCAGAUGUUCCAGGCUCAUCUUGUUCUUUCCCCUCCCCAGCCCUGGAAUCAGCUGUUUCUUCAGGGAGCCCUGCUUUCUGUUCAUGGAGAAUGGUGUUCAGGAAACAAGUGCUUGGUUCGUUCAUUGCUACUUCUGUGUCACUGCUUGUAGUCCCUCUCAGCAGACAGAUACAUAUACAAAAAUCUAUAUUUAUCUCUGUGUCUGUUAAAAAUGGCAAGUUUAUACUGAUACCCUCAAUUCCAGUCUGUCACUACUUUCUAGUCUUCCCCUUUUCCAUAUUUGUAACUCCCCCAACAGACAGAAACCUGACUGCCAUUAUCCUCAGUAUAUUUACUCAUUUGCUCAAGGCUAGAAUACAUGGAAGGUGGUUUUAGAAUUGCUAGCUCAUACUACUAUGAAGAGAAAACUUACUGGAUUUUUAGGUAACCUGUCUGUUUUCAACCUGUUUCUCAGUUUGGCAGCCAUCUGAGCCAUCUUUUAAGGAAGGUUAAUAAAUUCAAACAUAAGCCCCAAAUAAGCGUGUGUAGGCCAUGAAAACUGGAUGGCUCAGGGGAUGCAUGGUUAAAGGGCUAUAGAGCUUCAACAGUCCAGGUCACUAGUUUCAAUCCUCGUGUGUGCUGUAACUCACAGUGGUUGACACAGAAUUGUUUAUGUUGGAUGAUAGUAGAUGAUCGUGGCUUUAUCUUCUAGGUCUUAGUGAGUAUAAUCACGUCACUAAGAAUUGCCAUCUCAGCUGAAGGAAAGGGCAGAUUCCCCCCCAACAGUGCUGUUUAAUCAUCUUAAAAGCAAACUACAAUAGAUGGUCCAUAAGUCAUUUCUGUCCAUGCAUGAAGUACUUAAAACACAAUUUCUGUUACAUCUUUAAAAAAAUCUUGCUUUAUGACCAUAUCCUUUUGAAAAUCAUGUCAGGUUUUAUGAGCUACUAAUAUUUUUUAACAAAUAUUUAGGAAAUGAUUCAGGGAAAAAAGUGCUAUCAAAGGCAGUACUCUUAAUCUGGAAAGCUAGCUCUUUCUCUCAGCACCAAAAACUAAUUGAUUUUUGGGAGAUGGCGUAUCAUAGUUGGAAUAUAGAUUUAAAGUUUAAGGUUUUGUGUAAAUGUGCUAUCACCAUCAUGUCCAAGAGUACAAGUCAUUUGUGCCUUGGUAAGUGUUUCUUUUGUCUUUUAGUACUUUGUGUAAUUUUGUUAAAUGCUUUUAAACAAUUUCAACUUGCCAUCUUAGCAUUAAAUGGUAAGUAGUCCAAAGACGAAUGAAUCCUUUUAUAUUGAUAAGAUCUUUGAUGAAGGCUUAAAUUUUCAUUAUUGAGGUCAGCAUUCAAUGUUGUCCAAUACAUUGGCUCUUUCCUCUAAAAUGAGGGGUAAGCUUAAAACUGAUAACUCUCAUCUGCAUAAAGUCAGUGCAUUAACUUGCCUAUUUUGCUUGGCAUUUUACCUUUAGAUUUACUGUUACUUGCCCUUCACUAAAAACAAAUUUUAUAUUGAAUUCUUAAAGUUGCCUGUUUUCUGUUAACUCAUAUAACUAGGAAUAUGUUCGGGAAAAGAAAGAAGAGCACUUUUAAUCUUUGAAAAGCUCAUUGACCUAAUUCAUAAGACCAUGUGAAGGUUGGAGCUAUGCAAGCCGACCUGCCUUGAUGUUAUCCUGUCUACAUGUCCUUCAAUGAAUGCAUCUAUACUUAGAUAAUGAAAUAGAAAAUAGAAAUUAUUAUUAAAAAGUACACCUGUCACUCUACUUUUACUUCAUCUCUGCCAAAGCAGGUUAGAUCCGUUUUAUAAGGAAACCAAUGAUGUACAUGCUCCUAAUGUUAAGAUAGUCUGGUUGGGACUCCUUUAAGGUAAGUUAAUUUUUAGGCCAAGUGUCAUUAAAGGUCUGUGCAGCUUCUACGAUGGCUCCCAGUGAUGCUCAUUUCCUGGUAACCAUACCCUUGUAUUAUUCCCUCCCGUUGAGUUUGGCCUAGACCUAAUAACAUGCUUUCGAUGAAUAGAAUAUGGCAAAAGUGAUGGGAUGUCACUUCCAAGAUUCAGUUACACGAAGAUUCUGGCUUCUAUCUUGCUCACCCUCUCUUGCUCUCUCACUUGCCCACUUUAAUGGUAGGCAGUUGCCAUGGCGUGAGCUGCCCGAUGGAGAGGCAGGGGAACCAAGGAGGGAUUCUGGCCAACAGUCGGUGAGGAGCUGGAUCUUGCCAUAACCAUAGAAGUGGGCUUGGCUGCAAGCUCUUCUGCCCUGUCGAGGCUUGAGACGACAGCAGCCCUGGCUAAUGCCAUGAAAGCAGUCUUGUGAGACAUCCUGAGGUCCACUGUACCCAGAUUUCUGACCAGGAGAAACGGAGAUAUUAAGUGCUGACCAGGAGAAACUGUGAGAUAUUAAGUGUUGGUUGUUUUAAGCUACUAAAUUUGGGGGUAAUUUGUUACUCAACCAUGGAUAAACUAAUACAGUGUCCUUUUGAAAAAUAAAAAAUCACAAAAGACCCUCAAACUCUGUAUUUUCUCGGUACAUCUUUACUAGCAUUUCCAGAUAAAUGAUUUAGCACCCUGGUUUUCAACCACUAACAACAUUAGAAUCAUCUGGGAAAUUUUUUUAAAAUACAGGUGCCCGGGCUUCAUACUCAGAAAUUCUAUUUGAAUUGGUCUGUGGUGGGGUGCAGGCCUCCGUGUUUUUAAAAGUUUCCUAAGUAAUUCCGGUGGGUAGAUGAAGAAUCACUGAUUUAGUAGAAAUCUAUUUAUUAAGCUCCUUCUGAAUACCGGGUUUAGGAAUAUAACAUUGAAUGGGAUGUGGAGCUCGCCCUUCAUUCAUAGGUCAGAACAGAAGACAGACAGGUAAACCAACAAUGACAACAGUGUGACAAAUGCUCUGGUAGAGUUAUGUACAAGGUGACAUAAGCACAGAAGAGGAAACUCCUAACGCAGCCUGAUAAAGUCAGAAAAAGUUUGACAGAGAAAAUGUUAGGCCAAGUAAGUCUUCAGCUAAAUAUAAAAGCUAGUCAGCUAGAACAUGGGGGAUAACAUAUUGCAGGCAAAGAAAUAAUAAGAGUAAGGGCACAAAGUUGUUAGAGUAUGAGCAGGGAGAGGGGAUGUUCAUAUUCGAGUCAUGGGUCAGGGAAAAACUCCAGAAAGGCAGAGAGAGUUUUAACAGACCACAAAAUUAGGAGUACAGGGACCAGUCAGGAUGAGGACAUGGCCUAUGGUGGUGGUGGAAGGAAUGAAGAAGAGAGGGGAGGAGUGAUUUCCUGUUCAGGGCAUGUAAUGGGCAGGACUUGCAAGUAGGCACUGAAAUGCAAAGGGAGGAGCCCAUGACGACUCCCAGGCUCUGGCUUGACGGUUGUGUGGGUGGUAGACUGCGACUUUGGCAGCAAAUAUGGGGGAGGCAACAGCAGCAGACAGAGGGAAAUCAACUGUUCAGUUUCAGACCUAAGUUUAAAGCCUCGGAAGAAACAACUGGUUGCAGUUGGCGCUGGAAAUGAAAACCAGUUGGCACGUCACUUGCCAAAAAAGCACAUCUUUGUGGAUAAUUUUGUGUAUUUGGAAGUAAUCGAGAACAUAGCUUCUGUUUUGUCUUCACAUGUUUUGGUGAUUUGUAAUCAGCUUCCAAUAAAACCAGGAAGAUCUUGAGAAUUAGCUAUUUUGGCUUUUAGAAAGCAUUCUAUUUCACUAAACCAAAGAAACCUUUAAAACUGAACUAUGUAAGCUGUUUUUCACUAUUUAUUGUUGUCCACUGGCUCCAGUUCACUCACACCACAUGCUCUCCUUAGAUGCCUUUGCCCCACUGCCCACUUAGGUGAGUGACACCGUGGUUUACCCAACUAUUAGUAGCAUCUUAAACUGACAUGAGAUUACAUUGUGUUAUGAGGUGGGAAGGGUUCGGAUGGUGACAUCUACAUGUCCUCAUUAUGAUCUGGUCAUUGUUUUAAUUUCAAAGGAGCAAUACAUUCAGCUCAGUACUUCAGUCUAUUUAAAGCAUGUUAACCCCGGGCGCAGAGUAACAUUACACAUUCUUAUUGUAAGUCCCUGACACUGUAAUAUGUGCUUUCCAGUUUCAAUCUACUCACCUGUUGUGGCCACUUUGCGUUUUUUUUUUUAAGGAGCAAGGAUAUCUGGUAUUCCCGUUAUUCACUAUCAAUUGACAAUUUUGAACUUUUGAAAUUAUUCCUUCCUUCAUCUGGAUAGUUCAUAUGCCCCCACAGGAGGGGGAGAAGCCACAGGGAAAUACAACUGAAUCGUACUGCGAAGGGAAGGGUUGCACACUGUCUCGUCACCAGGCCUGCCUUGAGGCUGGUGUGAAAAAAUGCUGAUGUCUGUGUAACAUGUAUCUCUUAGGUAAAUCAAACCUGUAAUUCAGCUUGGCUGCCUCCAAGUCAUUUUGAUUCCUGCCAACAAGAACAUUAAUGAACUUAGUAUCUCUACAGGUUUAUUCAUGCGUACGACCCAGUUCCUCAUUCCUCCUUCCAGCAGCUGCCCCUGCUCCAUCUGAUAAAGCAGAACGCUGGAAGAGGUCAUACAAAUCCAGAUCAUUACCUAAACCCAGAUUAUUGUCGGCAGUGUUCUCUGAUUCUUCUGUCUGCUCUUAGGGUGGCAAACAAUAAAGUUUCUAAAGCUUGGAUUUGAAAAAAGAAUCCAUAUACUAGUAAUUUUUGUCAUGAAGAAACAUUUUAUGAAAUUCGGCUUGUUCAUGCCUUUAUUCUUCUUACUUUUAUUCUCCUUUUGACAGUGAUAAAUAAUUCAAUUAUGUUGUACUUUUUGCUUUUGGGUUUUGGUUUACCUCCAUGGAUUUACAGUUGUGGGAAUAUUCCAGAACAAGUCAUUCUUGCGUAGAUUUCCCAAAAUGGCAUGAGCCUGAUAUAGGAAGUAUGAUAAAAUGGACAUGAACCUAAUUUGUCAAAAAAUUUUAAGAUAAAAAUAUAAAAGAGUAUAAACCAGUUGUUCCCUAAUUUGUCUGCAUAUUAGAAUCACAUGGAGAUCUCUUUAAAAUUCCAAAUUUCCAGCCACACCCUAGCCCAAUUAAAUCACAGCAAUCACGGGGGUGGGACACAGGCAUCCGGAGUGUUUUGACUCCUCAGGUGAUUCCAAAAUGCAGACAAACUUGGGAAGCACUGAUCUAGACAACUCUGUUACUUCUUGCUUGCCAGAGAGCACAGCUAUGGCUGCUUCUCCUUGACUACCCACUCUGGCUUGGUGGGAGCGUCUCUGCCAUCCGGCUUCUCCAUCAACUUUGUCAACUUUGAGCCUAAGCAGGGCCACUGAAUGAGAGGUAAUGCAAUCACUGAAGGACAACAAUAACUAGUCAGAGACCACCAACAGAUAUAGAUAGUUGAUUGCAAAUUUUUUUAAAGUUAUUAUUUGUUGUAAUUUUUCCUGAUAGCCAAAGUUUUGUGUCUCAGAUUUUUCUAUUCCAUUUUUCAGACACUGAGAGCUUCUUAUGCAGUUAGUUUUAGGAAACUCUGGUCCACAGGGGUGACAUUUUUUUCAUGCUUUCAGUGAUUGUUUUAGAAUUCCUUCUUUGAGUUAGUCGACUUUAAAAUAUCUAACUCAGGGGGUAUGCGUUGAGUGAGAGUUGCCCAUUUGCCUUGUUUAAAGAAACACAGUUUGACACAAAGAUAAGUAUUUAAAAUUUUAUUUUCUGUGAAUACACAGCACAUUAAUUAUUUAAGCAAUGACUGGCUGUCCAAUAAAUGAGAGAAAGUUGAUUUUGAGAAUAACAACAACUGUUUACUCACAGGUGGUGAAAUUUACAUGGUUGACACCUUUAUUAGAGCUCAGAACUCUAGCAUUUAUACAAAUAACCAUCAUGCUGGCCUAUAAAAUUUUAAAGCUAGUAGUGUAACCCUAUAAAAUAAUUAUUUUGCUAUACGCCUAUGUAUUUAUAGAUACAUAUGCUAUAUGUAUCUUGAAAGAGAUUAAUUAAAGGACAUAAAAUUGCAAUUGAAGCUGCUCGACGGUUGAAAUUAUCUGAAUAAGUGCAAUCUUGACUUUAAUGAAUUAACAAGCUUCUUGCUAUAAGUGUUUAAUUAAUUUUAAACCAUAUUUGAUUUAGAAACCAUUUAUACUUAAUUUCUGGUCUAAUGUUCAAUUAAAAUCAUCUGUACUAUUAUGUGCAGGCUCUAGGUUCUGUUUUUGCUUUGGUUAUUUCAGUUUGAUCACUGACUACCACUGAGGAGUGGAGAAAGAAGGCCUAUGGCUAUGAUCUAAUUCCUCAUGUUUGUCAGGGGAAGACCUUCAGGGAAAAUGUUUGCUUAGAAAAUGCAUGUUUUUUUAAUUCAGAUUUUAUUCUGUAAGUAAUCAUUUGGGAGGGGAAGUAGAAACAAAUGAGAACACGUUUGUCUUAUUAAAAACAAAAGACUGAGACGUUUCAUUUGCUUACUAAAAUCACUGUUUUUCAUAUGAAGAUUUUGGAUAAGUCAUUGUCAAGGUAACUACAGACAGCUGUGGUGUGUUGCAAGCAUGCCAGCCAUGGAGGCAGAAAGCCUGGGUUUGAAUUCCAGUUACUCACAAAUUGCGAGGAAAUGAAGCACCAAAAAGGAAUUCAUCCAACAUCAUAACUGGUGGAGUUGGAAUUCAGACUCUGUGCCUCCGGAAAGCAAUACUGCCCAACACGUAUGAAAAUUCCUAGCAGCAACUGCCCCUGACCUUUUCAGCUCCCAGACUGCUGGCUGUCAACCAACAUGCAACUGGCAGAAAAAUAGAAACCUUCUCUUGGGGGAGAGAAAAGAUCUAAGAUUCUGAUAUCAGGAAGCCCCCAAGGAAUAGAACGAAGAUCUUGACACUGAGAGUCUCCCAAGGAAUUGGCCCAGCUAGAUGGCCCUACAAUGAAGACUACAGUCAACCAGCUACAUGGACACACAUGGAGUUUCUAAUCAGCUUUCUGGCGGACAACUUUUGGUUUGAGCAAACAGCCAGAGAAUACCAGGACAAGGAAAGCGUCUGCUAUGACCAAGAUAUUCAGAAAAUAAGAGAAGUUGUUGGAUUUAUAAAAGAAGAACAGGGUACUAUGUUAAAAAAAAAAAUUCAGAGAACCAAGAAGCAAGCUUUUGGAAAUUAAAAUUAUGAUAACUGAUAUGAAGGGGGUGUAUAUAAGUAGAAGAUAAAUACAGAAGAUAGAAUAUAGGAAAUAUCCCAGAAAGUAAAACAAAAAGACGAAGAUAUAGAGAAUAAAAGAGAAAAGAGAAGAAAAUUAGAAGACCAAGCCAGACAAUUCAACACCUAAAUAAUAGGAGUUCCAGAAAUUGGAAGCAGAGAAAAUGGAGGGGAGGAAGUUAUAAAAAGUAAUUCAAGAAAGUUUCUCAGAACUGAGAGGCAUACUUGCCCAGCGGAAUGUCCUAAAGUAGACCCACAGCAUAUCAUAUUAUGGCAUUUCAAAUCACUAGGAAAAAUCAGAAAGUCCUACAAUCUCCAGAACAGUGGGAAAGAGGCAUUUCAUACGAGAGUCAAGAAUCAGAAUGGCACUAAACUCCUCAAAAUAUAACAGUGGAAGCUAUAAGACAAUAAAACAAUGUCUUCAAACUUCUGAAGAAAAAUGAUUUCCAAUUUCAAUUCUAUUCCCACUCAAAAGUGUGAGGGCAGAAUGAAGAUCUCAAAAAACUUACCUCCUUUGCGCCCUUUCUCUGGAAUCUACAGGGGGAUGUGCUCCAAGAAAACAAGGAAGUAAAGUAAGAAAGAGUUAGACCUAGGGUCCAAGAAACAGAGACAAGGAGAGUCUCCAGGAUGGGUUGAAUGGGGACCUCAAGGUGACAGCAGUGCCUAGAAAGCAACAUGUCUAGGAUGGAACAGGUUACAAGGUUCCAGGAAGGAUUUCUUCAGGAAGAGGAAAUUGAUUGAAUACCUAAUUUGAACGUCUCAGGAGGAAACUUGCAUGCACACUUCAGGAAGGAUUUGGGUUAAAUUAGCAAUAAGUCCAUAAAAAGAUAAGACAAUCCAUAAAAAGACCAUUGUUAAUUUCAGAGAAAACUAAUAAGCAAGGCUUAUUAAAAUUAAGAACUUGCUGGGCCAGCCCCAGUGACCCAGUGGUUAAGUUCGAUGCACUGUGCUUCAGCGGCCUGGGUUCAAUUCCUGGGCGUGGACCUACACCACUUGUUUGUCAGUGACCAUACUGUGGUGGCAGCUCACAUACAAAAAGAGGAAGAUUGGCAGUGGAUAUUAACUCAGGGCAGAUCUUCCUCAGCAAAGACAAAAAAAAAAAAAAUUAAGGACUUAUACUCAUCAAAAGCAAGUUUAAAGACAAAUUAUAAUCUUGAGAUAUUCACAAUCCACAUAAAUGAAAAAUAAUAUCAAGAAUAUAAAAUGAACUUCUAAAAAUCAAUAAGAAGACCACAAACACUCCCAUAAAAAAUAGGGGGGAGAUACGAAGAAGUAUUUCACAGAAGAGGAAUUACGUAUGGCCAUACAAAUACAAAGAGAUGCUCAAUUAUCAGUGAUCAGGAUAAUACAAAUCAAGGCCUUGAUAAUAUGGCAUUUCAUUGUUGGAAACUUAAAAAACUGAUAAUACCAAAUGUUGGAUAAGAUGUAGAUUCAUGCAAUCUUUUACAUGUUGCUGGUGUGAUUAAAAAAUAAAAAUGUUCUGGGCCGGCCCAGUGGCAUAGUGUUUAAGUCCAUGAGCUCUACUUCAGUGGCCUGAGGCUCACAGGUUUGGAUCCCAGGCAUGGACCUACACAGUGCUCAUCAAUCCAUUCUGUGGCAGCAUCCCACAUACAAAAUAGAGGAAGAUUGGCACAGAUGUUAGCUUGGGACAAAUCUUCCUCACCAAAAAAAGAAGAAAAAAAAAUUUGUCAUUACCUUCCAAAGUUGAAGAAAAACAUUCUAUGACCCAGCAAUCCUCUUUUAGAGAGAAAGAGAAAGUUUUAAAUAUAUAUAAGAGAAAUGUGUGAGAAGAUUCAUUACAGCAAUGUUCAGCAAAAACCUGGAAACAACCCAACAGCUGCCCAUCAGUGGAGGCGUAGAUGAAUAAACUGUGGUAAUUUACAACAGUCAAAACAAAUAAAUGUAUUGAUGAAUCAGAGUGAUUUUGUAAUAAGAGUAAAAAGUAAAUCUCAAUAUUGUAUACAGCCUGAUGUACUUUAUAUAAAAUUUAAAUUAAAAAAUCCUCCUGCUUUCUAUUCAA